UAGCCUAGUGGUUAAGGCUGUAGAUUGCCAAUCCGGAGACGGCGGGUUCGAUUCCCGU
rnacentral:tRNA from 1 species